rnacentral:rRNA from 1 species
UGAGGAAUAUUGGUCAAUGGACGCAAGUCUGAACCAGCCAAGUAGCGUGCAGGAUGACGGCCCUAUGGGUUGUAAACUGCUUUUAUAUGGGGAUAAAGUGGGGAACGUGUUCCCUUUUGCAGGUACCAUAUGAAUAAGGACCGGCUAAUUCCGUGCCAGCAGCCGCGGUAAUACGGAAGGUUCGGGCGUUAUCCGGAUUUAUUGGGUUUAAAGGGAGCGUAGGCCGUUUGGUAAGCGUGUUGUGAAAUGUAGGAGCUCAACUUCUAGAUUGCAGCGCGAACUGUCAGACUGGAGUGCGCACAACGUAGGCGGAAUUCAUGGUGUAGCGAUGAAAUGCUUAGAUAUCAUGAAGAACUCCGAUUGCGAAGGCAGCUUACGGGAGCGCAACUGACGCUGAAGCUCGAAGGUGCGGGUAUCGAACAGG